rnacentral:rRNA from 1 species
CUACGGGAGGCAGCAGUGGGGAAUAUUGGACAAUGGGGGCAACCCUGAUCCAGCGACGCCGCGUGUGUGAAGAAGGCCUGCGGGUUGUAAAGCACUUUUAGUGGGGAUGAAAAGCCAAGGGCUAAUACCCUUUGGUCUUGACCUAACCCAAAGAAAAAGCACCGGCUAACUCUGUGCCAGCAGCCGCGGUAAUACAGAGGGUGCAAGCGUUAAUCGGAAUUACUGGGCGUAAAGCGUGCGUAGUCGGUUAUCUAAGUCGGAUGUGAAAUCCCCGGGCUCAACCUGGGAAUUGCAUUCGAUACUGGAUAGCUAGAGUUCGGCAGAGGGAAGCGGAAUUUCGGGUGUAGCGGUGAAAUGCGUAGAUAUCCGAAGGAACAUCAGUGGCGAAAGCGGCUUCCUGGACCGGAACUGACGAUCAGGCACGAAAGCGUGGGGAGCAAACAGGAUUAGAUACCCUGGUAGUCCC